CACAGGCAGUUCAGAAAGGUUUCUUGUGUUGGAUUUGAAGAAAUUGUUCCUUUGAGUAAUUUUACUGGCUGUGGUUCAGUUUUACAAACCAAACCAAAUUAAUUUCAGUGUUUUGAUCCAUCAGGCCAGUGCUGCAGCAAUGCAUCAGUUCACUUCCAUGAUGUUUUCACUGCUAGUCAUUACUGGACUGCAGGUGAGUGUUGAGUCCACAGGAACACGUUCUGAGCGAAGCAUCGACAGACAUUACAGAUCAGAGCUGACUGUGCCGAAUGGAGGGAGAUGGGGGUCGUGGGGUCCGAGGGAAAUGUGUCCAACUGGAAUGUAUGCUGUAGGAUUCAGUCUAAAGGUGGAAGAUCAUAUUGGUUAUGGGGAUGAUACUGCACUCAACGGGAUUCGCCUUCACUGUGUUA